rnacentral:rRNA from 1 species
AUUGAACGCUGGCGGCAGGCCUAACACAUGCAAGUCGAACGAGUGGCGGACGGGUGAGUAAUGUCUGGGCAGCUGCCUGAUGGAGGGGGAUAACUACUGGAAACGGUAGCUAAUACCGCAUACCAUCGGAUGUGCACAGAUGGGAUUAGCUAGUGGGUGGGGUAAAGGCUCACCUAGGCGACGAUCCCUAGCUGGUCUGAGAGGAUGACCAGCAACACGGGAACGGGGACACGGUGCAGACUCCGACGGGAGGCAGCAGUGGGGAAUAUUGCACAAGGGGCGCAAGCCUGAUGCAGCCAUGCCGCGUGUAUGAAGAAGGCCUUCGGGUUGUAAAGUACGUUCAGCGGGGAGGCGUUACCCGCAGAAGAAGCACCGGCUAACUCCGUGCCAGCAGCCGCGGUAAUAC